rnacentral:rRNA from 1 species
AUGGUAUUUCUGCUUAUCACCCUCACCAGCCUAGAAGAAUCUGGAUUGGUACUUGGCUAUUUCCUGAUGGAGCGUCUCAUGCAGGCUAUAGAAGCUCAUGAGGAACCAAAGAAGGCUGGCAAGCGAGGAGUUGAUGAGGAUCACACGAGCUGCCUUCGACAACCAGCGCCCUUUCCAGGGCUCAACCCGAUGUUGCAUUCAGGUCACCGUGGGGCGGAGGUCGGCCACGGUGAGGCGCGUAUCACUAAUGGGGAUCCCCAGGUAGGUCGUGGGGAAAGAAUCCAACCGACAAUUCAGUCGGUCCGCAAUAGCCUGUGCUUCGUCCGGGGAAUACCCAAGAACCAUCACUUCGCUCUUAUCGAAGUUGAUAGUUAG